rnacentral:rRNA from 1 species
UACGUAGGUGGCAAGCGUUGUUCGGAUUUACUGGGCGUAAAGGGCGCGUAGGCGGUCAGCACAAGUCGGUUGUGAAAUCUCCGAGCUUAACUCGGAAAGGUCAACCGAAACUGUGCGACUAGAGUGCAGAAGGGGCAACUGGAAUUCUUGGUGUAGCGGUGAAAUGCGUAGAUAUCAAGAGGAACACCUGCGGCGAAGGCGGGUUGCUGGGCUGACACUGACGCUGAAGCGCGAAAGCCAGGGGAGCGAACGGG